GGAAUAUUGGACAAUGGGCGAAAGCCUGAUCCAGCGACGCCGCGUGUGUGAAGAAGGCCUGCGGGUUGUAAAGCACUUUCGGUGGGAACGAAAUGUGCCGGGCUAAUACCCCGGCAAGCCGACGUUACUCAAUGAAGAAGCACCGGCUAACUCUGUGCCAGCAGCCGCGGUAAUACAGAGGGUGCAAGCGUUAAUCGGAAUUACUGGGCGUAAAGCGCACGUAGGCGGCUUUGUAAGUCAGGUGUGAAAUCCCCGGGCUCAACCUGGGAACUGCAUUCGAGACUGCAUGGCUGGAGUACGGAAGAGGAAGGCGGAAUUCCCGGUGUAGCGGUGAAAUGCGUAGAUAUCGGGAGGAACAUCAGUGGCGUAGGCGGCCUUCUGGUCCAGUACUGACGCUCAAGUGCGAAAGCGUGGGGAGCAAAC
rnacentral:rRNA from 1 species